CUGGCACGGUAAGCGGUCGCUUUUGCAUCUUGCAAAAGAGGAAAGUCCGAGCUGCGAUAAGACAAAGUUCCAUCUAACGGAUGGCUAGGGAAACCUAAGGGAUAGUGUAACAGAAAGCAAACUUCCGCUUCGGCGGUAAAGGUGAAACGGCGGAGUAAGAGCCCACCGGCGCGCUUGGUAACUUGCGCGGCCAUAUAAACCCAACUUGCAGCAAGAAGGGAUGGUUUUGGUCUUAUAUUAAAACCCUUCGCUAGAGCUUGUUUGUAAAAGCAAGAGUAGAUAAAUGAUCGCUCAAGACAGAACUCGGCUUAACGCCGUGCCUUCGCU
rnacentral:RNase_P_RNA from 1 species